rnacentral:lncRNA from 1 species
GAAGCUGUGCAUCGCUCCCAUUGGCUGCCUGCAAGCGCCACUCAAAGUGCCGGGCAUCCUUUUUGAGUCCGGCAGUAUGCUAUCGGGAUAGAGAGAGAUAGAGAGAGAGAGAGAGCAAAAACAGCGGAGCCCUCGUGUGUGCGCCGAACGCAUAUGAGAAGAGCGCCGAGCAUCGUUCUCAGAGCAGCCCAGCCAUCGCCAUGAGCAAGCUCAGUCCCAAUGAGACUCCGUCCCCCAGUGAGAUUCCUGGCCAGGAGGGGAAAGGUGAGUGUAAGACCGCCGGCCUUCGCAGGCAAAAUAUUAAAGAUGUGCACGAAAAUUUGUGCAAACUUUGGCCGUCCAGGUAUUCCCACCAGCUGUUAGGAAAUGUGGGAGGUGAAGUCCAAAACACCUGAAGGGAGUGCCCAUAUCUGCCGUAUAUGUUUUAUCACCAUGACCUAUUUCUGGGUAGCAUAAUGUUGUCAAAAAGACCCAUAGAUGGGAACCUCUGUAUUCUGAUAUAACAGGUUCAAUAUGUGGACAACAUCCUUCAGUAUAUAGACGACUGGCUCAUAGCAGCCGGCAUAUGCAAACUUCGGCCAUCCAGGCCAGCAUGUGUAAACUUUGGCCGUCCAGUUAGAUUGUGAGUCACGGUGUGAUCUCGGGAAAGUCACAUUCUCGCAAGUGUGAAUGUUGCCAUUGGCCACCUUGAUUAUCAUUUAAGGGCCUUGCAGCUUCAAAGCCUUGGGGAAUCCUUUGUUGGUAGGUGUUAGCUGGCCCUGAUUAUUUCCUGCCUGGAAUUCCCUUGUCGUCUGAGUAUUGCUCUUUAUUUACAGUCCUGAUUUUAGAGUUUUCAGUAUUGGUGGCCAGAUUUUGUUCGUUUUCAUGGUUUCCUCCUUUCUGUAAUACUGGCUACCAGUAUUUAAAAUAAUCUAAAAUUAGGACAGUAAAUAAAGAACAACACUCAGAAAACUGGGGAAUCCCAGACAGGAAACAAUCUGGGCUAACUAAUAAAAGGGUUAUUAUUAUUAUGUUGCAGUGUUGAGAACAGGAGGGAGGGGGAAAUGAAGCUUUAGUUCUCUUAUAUGUCUCUCUCUGCUAGCCUUUUGAUAGGCAAAAUUGUGGGAGUUGAAGACCAAAACACCUGAAGGGAGUGCUCAUAUCUGCCAUAUAUCUUUUUUAUCACCACGACCUAUUUCCGGGUAGUAUAAGGUCAGCGAAAAGACCCAUAGAUGGAAACCUCUGUAUUCUGAUAUAUCAGGUUCAAUAUGUGGACGACAUCCUUCACUAUAUAGACGAUUGGCUCAUAGCAGCCGGUAUGUGCAAACUUUGACAGUCCAGGCAUUCCUACUGGCUGUUGGGAAUUGUGGGAGUUGAAGUCCAAAAUAUCUGAAGGGAGUGCCCAUAUCUGCCGUAUAUCUGUUUUAUCACCACGACCUAUUUCCGGGUAGUAUAAGGUCAGCGAAAAGACCCAUAUGGAAACCUCUGCAUUCUGAUAGACCAGGUUCAAUAUAUGGACGACAUCCUUCAGUAUAUAGACGACUGGCUCAUAG